rnacentral:rRNA from 1 species
UUUUUAUGGAGAGUUUGAUCCUGGCUCAGGAUGAACGCUGGCGGCGUGCCUAAUACAUGCAAGUCGAGCGAACAGACGAGGAGCUUGCUCCUCUGACGUUAGCGGCGGACGGGUGAGUAACACGUGGAUAACCUACCUAUAAGACUGGGAUAACUUCGGGAAACCGGAGCUAAUACCGGAUAAUAUAUUGAACCGCAUGGUUCAAUAGUGAAAGACGGUUUUGCUGUCACUUAUAGAUGGAUCCGCGCCGCAUUAGCUAGUUGGUAAGGUAACGGCUUACCAAGGCAACGAUGCGUAGCCGACCUGAGAGGGUGAUCGGCCACACUGGAACUGAGACACGGUCCAGACUCCUACGGGAGGCAGCAGUAGGGAAUCUUCCGCAAUGGGCGAAAGCCUGACGGAGCAACGCCGCGUGAGUGAUGAAGGUCUUCGGAUCGUAAAACUCUGU